CACGGAGGAUGCGAGCGUUAUCCGGAUUUAUUGGGUUUAAAGGGUGCGUAGGCGGGCUGUUAAGUCAGCGGUCAAAUGUCGGGGCUCAACCCCGGCCUGCCGUUGAAACUGGCGGCCUCGAGUGGGCGAGAAGUAUGCGGAAUGCGUGGUGUAGCGGUGAAAUGCAUAGAUAUCACGCAGAACUCCGAUUGCGAAGGCAGCAUACCGGCGCCCGACUGACGCUGAGGCACGAAAGCGUGGGUAUCGAACAGG
rnacentral:rRNA from 1 species